rnacentral:lncRNA from 1 species
AUGGACACGCGAUCAGAUUCGCUACCGCAGAGCUCUAGCUCCGGAGCGCGCCAAGUUGAAGGCCAAAGUCGAGGUUGGGAUGCCCGAUGCCUGGCGCGGGGAGACGGAGGAAGCAAAGUGCUGGAAGGAAGCAAGACUGGUAGCUGAGAUGAAAGAGGUGGUGGAGGAAUGAAUUGGUUUGGAAAAGUGAAGACAUUUUUGUAGAGGAGAACUGAAUGAGUUGCUGACAAAUGUCAGUAGGACUGCCAGGCAGUGCUGAGGACCUUGUUGAGAGUGACCUUCAAUAUUGCUAAUAAUGAGCCUGGUCAUGUGGUUUUUCUCAAAUAGCAUCCAGCUGACCAGGUGUAACUAAAGAGGUGGCAGCCAGGAGAUUUUCCAGGGCUAGAGUUCUACAAGACAGAGGCAAUGUGAGAGCAUCAAGGCAAGGAAGUUUCUGAUAUCAUUGACUGUGUGGCUGCCAUGCUAGACCUGGGAAUUGAGGCUGGAUAUGGACGGAGGUGAAGGGAGGAUGUGGCAAAUAGAGGAAAAUCUAGGAGUCAAUAACUAGGCAAUGACAAAGAACUGAUGUAUGAAACUAGUUGGGUGAGUGAGCUAGAUGGAUCCAAGGGAGUGUUGGAGAGUGGGGAAUCUGGACUCUGGACUCUGACUUAGGUGAAUGGCAUGAUCAGCCCAGAGUUUGACCAAGAGCAAAAGUGGCUUACGUGGAGUGAAGAGGAAGGUCAUUGGAGAUGAGGAGGUCAAACUGAGGGGCCUUUGUGUUGGAGGAAUUGCCCAUAUAAUGUACUGAAGUCACUGAGGAUGAUGGUGGACCUUCAGGAGAGAGGAGGAUCAUGGGCUAAAGAUUAAAGUCUUCACGACUGCCUGGUGGAAAUACAGUAUUAUAUAAUGACAUGCUACUAUGCAUCUCUACCUAACUCCUCGUCUGGUGAUGCCAUAUUGAAAUCAGCCAUACUGAGAGUAUUUACACACUGCUGAAGUCAGUAAAUGCUACAAAUCAAGGCUUGAAUGUAACCUACAUGAGAAAGAGUUGCCUUGCUCACUGCCGUAUCCCAGUAUCCCAAGAACCUUGGAGAUGCUCUAUGAAUACUGAAUGAAUCUGAGAGGAAACUAGCCCGAAGGGGGAAGGCUCUGGAAGCAAGCCCUCAUGGACCAACGGAGAGUGAGUGUCAUCAUUUUAUGUUUUCUCCAAAUCUUGUAAACAAUGUGUUUUAGUCUUAGCCUGUCAUAUGCAGCUGAAAUCUGGGGCAAAUAAAAUCACAUAGAUGCAUGUGGCUCUGUGUUAUUAUUACAGGCAAGCGAGGUAAAAUUGAAGGAUGCAAACUUGAAGGGCGUAUCACUCUCAGAUUCAUGUAAGUGCAGGGUCAGCCCCGAGAGUGGGCACCUCCUUACAUUUUGUGCCCUGGGAUUCUCCCUUGCUUUACCUUAGCCUUGAUUCUACAGCAGGUCUCUUCCAGGAACUCCCAAUUCCACAGCCUAAUGGACAUCUCCAACUCUAGCAGCUGCUUCUUUCAGACACAGCCAGAGAGCAGCAUAUACAAGAGAAUGCUUAGCUGAGGCAAAGUUUUAUUCACUCUGUCUAGCUUAGAGACAUAAUAAACUCCAGGGGCUGAAUGACGGCUCUAAAUGCUGAGAGAUAGGCCAAAGCAGUAAGAAGGAGGCAUUACUUAUUUUAGAAUAAGCGCCAUGUCAUUACCUUAUUGCUGAAAUCUUGAAGCUCAGGUGUUGACUAUUACUACGAUUAGGUCUGAUGGUAUCGCACACCCAGGAUGCCAACAGCGCCAACUCCCGCUGAUUGAGUUCCCACUGUGUGCCAAGAAAGAAGACACUAGGCCUUCAUGUACAUUGUUUCAUUCAUCAACCAGCACCCUAACUAACUCUCUUUUCUUGGUAUUUCCUGUAUGUCAGAAAAGGAAACUGAAUCUUGGGGAGAUUAAGCAACUCUUUCAAGGUCAACCGGGGAGCGGCAGAACCAGAGUUCGAAGGAAACCUUUCUGAAUCUGACGUCUGCCCCUUCUAAAUUAGGACUCUCAUCUAUCAGCCUGUGAGAAAAAAUACAGAAAGCAUCAUUCAGGCAACACAUGAACUCAAGACACUGAGACUUCGCUAACCUUCCUCGCACACAAGGUCCUAAAGGAACUACCACACGCAUGUCCACAUUUGAUGCACAUAACAGACUCUCACCGCAUUGAAAUAAACCCCAGUAUGAUCAUAAUAGCUUUUUUCUUUCAAUUUUUAUUGAACACAAGUAUUCCGACAGAAUGCAAAGUCAAAAUUCUCAGUUAGUACUCAGUAUUUACACCAGUGAGAAUGGAAACAAAGGUGGUAUCGAUGUUUCACUUGGUAAAAAGUUUUAUAACAAGAGAGAAGGCCCCCGAAGUACAGAAUGCUGGGUAGGGAUGUUAAUGGAGGUCUGAAAACCGCCAUCCAGACAGACAGCCUCAAGUGAAAACCUGGGACUCGGAAGGCUCCAUAGAAAAGUGUGAAAAUAGAGUUCCACCUCCAAAGCUGCACUAUAUACACCACAGCCCUGCAGGGUCCAGUGGCCCUGCUCGUCACACUUGAGUGCUCCUCCAGCAGAACUUGGCCAUGCCGGUCUUCAUGUGAAUACAUAUGUAUGGCACAUACACACAUAGACACAUAGACAUUGGAAACUGGAGUUGAUCCCUCCUUCAAAAAUUAAAAAAGAAAAUUAUAAGCUUUGAUCUCUUAACAUAAAAGAUAAAACAUCUUGGAAUAAAAUGACUCCCUCUUUGAUUUUAGAGAAAGCAUUGCUUUUUUUUUUUUUUUUUUUUUUUUUUUAAAGGAAAAACUCUUGCAUGCUGAGACAAACCUAUGUGUAAUGGGAGAGAACAGACCAAAAUGUGGGCAGAGUCUUAGGUCCUAGCUAAUGGCAGAGCCAGGGUUCUAGGGGGUCAGCUGUCCCGGGCCAGGUGAUCUGAGGGCUGACCUGUUUCUUCCUAACCAUCAGAACCAAAACCAGUUUGACCUAACCACAACCACUUUGACAGUCUUGACAAGGUAUGGCAUGGGCUUGGCCUGGUGUGGCAAAGCCAUCGACAUUACAAGAUGAAGAACUGAGUCCACUGAACAGCCUGGUGACCAGAAGAGCCUGCCCCUCACUGCUGGGCCCUCCCGGUCUCAGACACCCAGGCUCUCACAUUCUACUGUGUGCUCUAAGAUCUCUCUUCAUGUUCCUCUAUUCUGAGGGCCUGUGCAUUUGAACCAGAGAUCUGUGCAGGCCCUAGAAUCAAAGGGGCCAGGGCUGUGUGUUCUGGGAUCCUCCAUUUCCAUCCCCAGGAGCUGAGAAAAUGCAACAUAACCCCACAUUGAGCAAAUGACAAGACCAUUAUUCUUCACAGUUUGAAAUUAUAAUCUAGCAUCGCCACUGAUCAGACUGCAGAAGUGUCAGAACGUUGGGGAGAGUGGCCCACAGAAUGGACCCAGAGGCAGCCUUGCCACCCUAACCUCUUGCUGCUUUGUACCUUAGGAGAGGAGCGCAUGCGGAGUACUGAUUUCUGUUUACUUAGCAUCAUCUUCAUCAUCAUCAUCAUCAUCUGUAUUUCAUUUUCUUUGUUAAAAGGCUUCGAUUCCGUUUGAGUGAUUUUUGUUUCCUGAAUAUUUUUUCUGAACUAUCUGCUAUACCUUCCACAACCAAACUAUGUUGAAGUUUUAUUUCAAUACUAUGACAAAAACACGUUUCACACUAAAAUAUUCACGCAUCCACAGUGCACAAGCUUGCAGUUCUAAAGUAGAAUGAGGGAAAAAAAAGCAAAAUUUCUAUACAAAGGGCUGGCUUUUCCCUUCUCCCCCCCCUCCCAUCCCCCUUAAAGUUUCUGUAUUUUUUCCCCCACUUGGUUUCCAAUCCAGGAAAGUUGUGUUAUGACUCCAGACAGUAGGUUGUUUCUUUCUUCUUUUGUUUCUAUAAAUGCUGCCUAAGUGAACAGAAGGCCGAUGUUACUUUACUUCAACAGAUUUCCAAAAAAAGACACUAAUUCCCUGAAGCACACAUGCUCUUCCGCUCAAAUCUAGAUUCUGGGCUCAAAAGGAAAUGGUAUGUAUAGAUUUUAUUUGGCUUUCUACACAAAGGGGAUGUGUGGGGUAAUAAUGUGUGUUCACCAAGACCAGCCCCAACUAUACAAUCUUCUCUGCUUCAUUCAACAAAGCCUAAGGAGUCCUUCAAAAGAAGGGUGAGAACGCCUGGGAGCAGAUCCCUUUUCACAGAUGCAGGCAGGUGGCGGCUAAUCAGAAAGUGGUCUAACCCCCAAAGAAACACAAAAAUAACCAAAAAUUCAAAAGCAAAACCAUUCCAGAAUGAGAUGGAUUUUCACCUGAGUGGGACCCAGGCAAAAACUGCAGAUCAGAAAAGAGGGGAAGAGCAGCUGUAAACAAUCAUGUUUUGUAAAGUUGUCCUGUGCUAAAGCAAGCGUGGGAUGAUCCUACCUACCUCUAGGUGGUAUUUGUUACCUUAAAAAAUAAAAGGCAGCUAUUUUACACGGACAUUUAAACACAACCAAAGUCAAACAUUUGUCACCUUGUAAACACUGGAAAACAAAGUUGGCAGAAAGAAAGAAAGAAAAAAGAAUGUAAAAGAAAGAAAAAGAAGUCUGAAUACUGCAAAUUGAGAUCUACCCCCAGAAGCUGCAAUUUGGCAUUCGUCCUAUAAAAUAAGAGUCUACGUGGGAAUUGAAUUCAGCUAGAAAGGGUGACACACUUUGCAUACUGAACAAAUACAAAGUGAACAGAAAUUAUAACUUAUUUAUGAGGUUUUACAGAGUUCAAACUUGACUGAAAGUAUAAAAAUAAACUGUGGACUUUGUUCAUUCGAUUAGUCUUAGUGCCUGAAAGUAUUUCUCUGAAACUGGUCUGUGCCAAUCGGGUAACACCAAGUGUGGUCUUCCUGAACCUAGAUUUCGUUUCUGAGCUUCCUAGAUUCUUAAUUUGGGGUCCUUUUGUUUGAUUUUUUAACGGUUUCAGGGAACGGAGUGUCCUAGUUUGGCUGUGGGUUUAACCUUUUUGUCUCAUUUUCUUACAAGUGAGUGUGCAACAAAGGGACCCUUUCUAUAAACCUACAAAAAGGAGAUUCCCAUGUUUUAUCUGUUUAGUUUUUUUUAAAGGCAAAAGACACUAGAGAAAUGAGAUGUGUGUGUGUGCAUGUGUGUUUGUGUGUGUGCGUGCGUGUGUGUGUCUGUGGUGUUGGAAAUGCUCUGGUGAAGCUGCUGUGUCACUUUUUAUUUUGAUCUUUGCUCGGUUCUCUUCACCCAUCAUGCUUUGCUCUCGUUCUCCUUUGUCUGUGUGGCGUCAUUGGGGACCGUCUUGACUUCGGCUGGCGCUGGCUUCGUUUCUGUCUCCUGGCACUCUGGCUUUGCUUCUACGGGGCCCUUCCUG